UGAAUGCUUUGCAUUUGAGGCGAUAUCCUUUUGGUGGCUGAGGCUCUCGAAGCCGCAAAAAGAUAUAGCCGAAAGCGGGAAUAGGG
rnacentral:sRNA from 1 species